UUCCUUUAAUAGCACGUAUACUGCAAUUGAAACAAAUCAAAGAAGAUUAGCAUGGCUCAUGCAUAAGGAUAACAUGCAGAUUUGUGAAGCCCUCCAUAUGUUU